rnacentral:rRNA from 1 species
UACGUAGGCAGCGAGCGUUGUUCGGAGUUACUGGGCGUAAAGAGUAUGUAGGCGGUUGCGUAAGUUUGGUGUGAAAUCUCCCGGCUUAACUGGGAGGGUGCGCCGAAAACUGCGUGGCUAGAGUGUGGGAGAGGAAAGCGGAAUUCCUGGUGUGAGCGGUGAAAUGCGUAGAUAUCAGGAGGAACACCGGCGGUGUAGACGGCUUUCUGGACCAUUACUGACGCUGAGAUACGAAAGCGUGGGUAGCAAACAGG